UGCGAACUCCUACGGGAGGCAGCAGUAGGGAAUCUUGCACAAUGGGCGAAAGCCUGAUGCAGCAACGCCGCGUGAAGGAUGAAGGCCUUCGGGUUGUAAACUUCUGUUCUAAGGGAAGAAACAAAUGACGGUACCUUAGGAGCAAGCCCCGGCUAACUACGUGCCAGCAGCCGCGGUAAUACGUAGGGGGCAAGCGUUAUCCGGAAUUAUUGGGCGUAAAGAGUGCGUAGGUGGUUACCUAAGCGCAAGGUUUAAUUUAGAGGCUCAACCUCUACUUGCCUUGCGAACUGGGCUACUUGAGUGCAGGAGGGGAAAGCGGAAUUCCUAGUGUAGCGGUGAAAUGCGUAGAUAUUAGGAGGAACACCAGCGGCGAAGGCGGCUUUCUGGACUGUAACUGACACUGAGGCACGAAAGCGUGGGUAGCAAACAGGAUUAGAUACCCUUGUAGUCCU
rnacentral:rRNA from 1 species